UAGGGAAUCUUCCGCAAUGGACGAAAGUCUGACGGAGCAACGCCGCGUGAGUGAAGAAGGAUUUCGGUUCGUAAAACUCUGUUGUUAGGGAAGAAAAAAUGUAUAGUAACUAUAUACAAAAGAGACGGUACCUAACCAGAAAGCCACGGCUAACUACGUGCCAGCAGCCGCGGUAAUACGUAGGUGGCAAGCGUUGUCCGGAAUUAUUGGGCGUAAAGCGCGCGCAGGUGGUUUAGAAAGUCUGAUGUGAAAGCCCACGGCUCAACCGUGGAGGGUCAUUGGAAACUAAUAAACUUGAGUGCAGGAGAGAAAAGUGGAAUUACUAGUGUAGCGGUGAAAUGAGUAGAGAUUAGGAGGAACACCGGUGGCGAAAGCGGCUUUUUGGCCUGCAAAUGACACUGAGGCGCGAAAGCAUGGGGAGCAAACAGG
rnacentral:rRNA from 1 species